UACGUAGGGUGCAAGCGUUAAUCGGAAUUACUGGGCGUAAAGCGUGCGCAGGCGGUUUUGUAAGACCGAUGUGAAAUCCCCGGGCUUAACCUGGGAACUGCAUUUGUGACUGCAUGGCUAGAGUGUGUCAGAGGGGGGUAGAAUUCCACGUGUAGCAGUGAAAUGCGUAGAUAUGUGGAGGAAUACCGAUGGCGAAGGCAGCCCCCUGGGAUGGCACUGACGCUCGAUGCACGAAAGCGUGGGGAGCAAACAGG
rnacentral:rRNA from 1 species